GGAGGAUUGGAGGAAGGCAGAUGUUGUUACUAUAUUUAAAAAUGUUUCAAAAUCCUUGCCUGGAAAUUAUAGACCUGUGAGCUUAACUUCUGUGACUAGGAAAAUAUUUGAAGGGCUAUUAAGGGAUAAUAUUCAGGAAUUCAUUGGGAAGAACUUUGUUAUUAGCAAUAAUCAGCAUGGCUUUAUGAAACAUAGGUUAUGUCAAACUAACCUAAUUGCAUUUAAC
rnacentral:lncRNA from 1 species